rnacentral:rRNA from 1 species
UACGGGGGGGGCAAGCAGUUGUUCGGAAUUACUGGGCGUAAAGGGUUCGUAGGUGGCCAACUAAGUCAGACGUGAAAUCCCCUCGGCUUAACCGGGGAACUGCGUCUGAUACUGGAUGGCUUGAGUUUGGGAGAGGGAUGCGGAAUUCCAGGUGUAGCGGUGAAAUGCGUAGAUAUCUGGAGGAACACCGGUGGCGAAGGCGGCAUCCUGGACCAACACUGACGCUGAGGAGCGAAAGCCAGGGGAGCAAACGGG